rnacentral:rRNA from 1 species
GGAGUAAUGCGUGACCAACCUGCCCCAUGCUCCAGAAUAGCUCUUGGAUACGGGUGGUAAUGCUGGAUGCUCCAACUUGACGCAUGUCUUGUUGGGAAAGUGUUUAGUGGCAUGGGAUGGGGUCGCGUCCUAUCAGCUUGUAGGCGGGGUAAUGGCCCACCUAGGCUUCGACGGGUAGCCGGCCUGAGAGGGCGGACGGCCACAUUGGGACUGAGAUACGGCCCAGACUCCUACGGGAGGCAGCAGUG